UUGAGGGCGAUCUGGCUGCAACAUCUGUCAUCCCAUUGAUCGCCAGGGUUGAUUGAUUCAGCUGAUCUGGCUGGCUAGGCAGGUGUCCCCUUCCUCCCUCACCACUCUUGAAGCUGCAUGCUUGGUGGAAGAGGACAACCUUCCCUGAAUAGAGGAGGACUGGUCUUCUGUCAAGGGUAUAGCUGCGCUCCCUUGCUAGAACCUCCAAACAAGCUCUCAAGAAUGUUUAUAUUUUAAAAAGCCCCGACAUGACAUUAUGAGAUAAAGAACCUCCAAAGAUGCCAUUGAGUUCAUUU
rnacentral:snRNA from 1 species